AUUGAACGCUGGCGGCAGGCCUAACACAUGCAAGUCGAGCGAGCGGCGGACGGGUGAGUAAUGUAUGGGGACUGCCCGAUAGAGGGGGAUAACUACUGGAAACGGUGGCUAAUACCGCCAACUAUCGGAUAACCCAUAUGGGAUUAGCUAGUAGGGGGGGGAACGGAUCACCUAGGAGAAGAGCUCUAGCUGGUCUGAGAGGAUGCUAGGCCACACUGUGACUGCGACACGGCCCAGACUCCUACGGAGGCAGCAGUGGGGAAUAGUGCAUAAUGGGCGCAAGCCUGAUGCAGCCAGGCCGCGUGUAUGAAGAAGGCCUUAGGGUUGUAAAGUACUUUCAGCGGGGAGGCGUUACCCGCAGAAGAAGCACCGGCUAACUCCGUGCCAGCAGCCGCGGUAAUUC
rnacentral:rRNA from 1 species